rnacentral:lncRNA from 1 species
UUUUUUUAAGUAUUUCCGCAGAUCUCCAAGACAAUUUGCUGAUGAAGGAGGUGUUGACAGCGUAGAUGGCGUUGCCCAAAGAUUAGUCUAGAGUCGGAUAUUCUUUCCUUAGCCAUGGCGCUUAGAUCAAAGAUUAAAAGUUAAAAAGAUACGUUAAAAAGAAAAUAGCAAUGUUGGUGAAACAUGAUCUGAGAAGGGUGGCUAAUGCGGUAGGAGUGGGACAAUGGUGGUGUGUUCGGGGACGAAAGCAACAGAGGUUUGAUAAAGAAUUAUCAAGUGCUCAACAUGACACAGUGAGGGUUAGGAUUUAGAGAUUUAACUUUCAAGACUACUACUGCUGCUUAUGGCUUUCAGUCGACAUGCAUUUCUUUAGAAGAACAACAAUUCCG